GACGAACGCUGGCGGCGUGCUUAACACAUGCCAGUCGAACGGAAAGGCCCUGCUUUUGUGGGUUGCUCGAGUGGCGAACGGGUGAGUAACACGUGAGUAACCUGCCCUUGACUUUGGGAUAACUUCAGGAAACUGGGGCUAAUACCGGAUAGGAGCUCCUGCUGCAUGGUGGGGGUUGGAAAGUUUCGGCGGUUGGGGAUGGACUCGCGGCUUAUCAGCUUGUUGGUGGGGUAGUGGCUUACCAAGGCUUUGACGGGUAGCCGGCCUGAGAGGGUGACCGGCCAAAUUGGGACUGAGAUACGGCCCAGACUCCUACGGGAGGCAGCAGUGGGGAAUAUUGCACAAUGGGCGGAAGCCUGAUGCAGCAACGCCGCGUGCGGGAUGACGGCCUUCGGGCUGUAAACCGCUUUCGCCUGUGACGAAGCGUGAGUGACGGUAAUGGGUAAAGAAGCACCGGCUAACUACGUG
rnacentral:rRNA from 1 species